AAUCUUUUCACGGAGAGUUUGAUCCUGGCUCAGGACGAACGCUGGCGGCGUGCCUAAUACAUG
rnacentral:rRNA from 1 species